UUCACCAAAGAUCGCGAACUGAACAUUGGCACGCCGUCCGUCGUGGCGUUGAGGCGUUCGGUGGCGCUGCCGGAGCUAAGUGGUGAUCUCUUAAAUGGCGGAAUCGUGC
rnacentral:SRP_RNA from 14 species